UUUCCCCUUGCGUCGAUUUCCCUAAGCUUCUCGACACCUUCUUCUCUUCGACUUCACCGUCGCCGAGCUCUUCAUCUUCCCAUGCCUCGUCUUCUCUCUCGCUACACCAGACGCCACUGCCGACUCUCAAUCCGUCGGCUUCCCUUUCCUCUUCAACCAUCUCUGCACGGAGCAACGCCGACGCCCCUACAACCUUCCUCUCCCAAUUCUCUCCUAUUCAUCGAUGUGCCCUAGCUUUCAGCCCGAUUCCCUCUUCACUGGAGUAGGCCACGGUCCCAACUAGGUGCCACCUUCCUGCCACCACUAUUUCGUCAGAUCACUCUCUAAGCAACUAGCAAGGGUUAUUGUCUUGGAGGACCAGCGAUUUCGUUUAGUUCCGGCCAUAACACCAUCGACAACCAGUUGCUGCCUCUACUAGUGGCUGGUUUGAGUUGUGCCACCAUCGAUCGCUGAAAAAGAAGAGGCAAUGGUUUGGUAAUUAGAUUUUAUUAUAGAUUUAGGACUCUGAUUGAGACGACAUCACGAUGUAGGAUUUCUAGAUAUGAUCUUCUUUUGAGGUUGAAGCUGUCAGGAGGUUUCAGUUGCUAGUCCUCUUGUCACAAGAGUUUACGUAUUGGUCUUUUGGUAUUCUAUUUAUUUGCUUAGAGCUGUGUUUCGGACUUGCAUUGGUUUUGCACCCUGAAUUUGUAUGAUUUUUCUUAAGGCAUUGUAAUGGUUGGUCAUUUGCUUGUUUGGUGGGUUUCUAUUUGGUAUAUUUUGCUACGCGCCUGUCGGACAGUUGAAGAGGUAAGUUUGGAUGUUGUUUUCGAUUUUUUUUCAUAUUGUGAUGACAGCCGAAGGCUGAUAUAUUAUAACUGCGUGGAUUGUUUCAUUUUUGUAUGAU